rnacentral:rRNA from 1 species
UACGUAGGGUGCAAGCGUUGUCCGGAAUUAUUGGGCGUAAAGAGCUCGUAGGCGGUCUGUCGCGUCGGAUGUGAAAACUCGGGGCUCAACCCCGAGCCUGCAUUCGAUACGGGCAGACUAGAGUUCGGUAGGGGAGACUGGAAUUCCUGGUGUAGCGGUGAAAUGCGCAGAUAUCAGGAGGAACACCGGUGGCGAAGGCGGGUCUCUGGGACGGUACUGACGCUGAGACGCGAAAGCGUGGGGAGCGAACAGG